rnacentral:rRNA from 1 species
CUUCCAGACUCCUACGGGAGGCAGCAGUGGGGAAUAUUGCACAAUGGGGGAAACCCUGAUGCAGCAACGCCGCGUGAGUGAAGAAGUCAUUCGUGAUGUAAAGCUCUAUCAGCAGGGAAGAAAAUGACGGUACCUGAGUAAGAAGCCCCGACUAACUACGUGCCAGCAGCCGCGGUAAUACGUAGGGGGCAAGCGUUAUCCGGAUUUACUGGGUGUAAAGGGAGCGUAGACGGCCAGACAAGUCUGAAGUGAAAGCCCGUGGCUUAACCGCGGAACGGCUUUGGAAACUGUGGAACUGGAGUGCUGGAGAGGCAAGCGGAAUUCCUAGUGGAGCGGUGAAAUGCGUAGAUAUUAGGAGGAACACCAGUGGCGAAGGCGGCUUGCUGGACAGUAACUGACGUUGAGGCUCGAAAGCGUGGGGAGCAAACAGGAUUAGAUACCCCGGUAUG